rnacentral:lncRNA from 1 species
AAUCUUGCAUAUGACUAACGAAGGGGUCUGACAAGUUCUCUAUGACCUCUGUCAAUUUGAGACUCACGAUUGAAUGACUGAAUCAUACGAUAACUGCACCUAGAGAUUCGUUCUUUCAUUCUACUAGAUUGUCACUACAUACUGCUAGGUAUCACUGGUGGAUUGUGAGACUCAUCGGACGUCGUCUUGAUGAUCGAUGGCCCUCGUAAGGUAGAAUUGAAAAUAUUCUUAUCCAUCGAAAAGUGUUUCGAUGAUAUUAUAAUAGAGAUCACAAUAUAUCUCGCUACCA